UACGUAGGGUGCAAGCGUUGUCCGGAAUUAUUGGGCGUAAAGAGCUCGUAGGCGGCUUGUCGCGUCGGCUGUGAAAACCUGGGGCUCAACCCCGGGUCUGCAUUCGAUACGGGCAGGCUAGAGUGUGGUAGGGGAGAUCGGAAUUCCUGGUGUAGCGGUGAAAUGCGCAGAUAUCAGGAGGAACACCGGUGGCGAAGGCGGAUCUCUGGGCCAUUACUGACGCUGAGGAGCGAAAGCGUGGGGAGCGAACAGG
rnacentral:rRNA from 1 species